rnacentral:pre_miRNA from 1 species
CAACUCUCAUCCUACACCGUUGGAUCGAGAAAUGGACGUCCGAGAUUUGUCCACGUUACCAUGAGUUAAAAUUUAACUCAGAUUCUCUCAUGAGUUAAAAUUUACCGUGAGUUAAAUUUUAACUCAUGGUGACGUUGACGAAUCUCAGGCGUCUAUUUCUCGAUCCACCGGUGUAGAAUGAGAGUUG